rnacentral:rRNA from 1 species
CAGUCGCCGCGGUAAUACGUAGGCAGCGAGCGUUGUACGGAAUUACUGGGCGCAAAGAGUGUGUAGGCGGUGCUCUAAGUUCGGUGUGAAAUCUCCCGGCUUAACUGGGAGGGUGCGCCGGAAACUGGAAUGCUCGAACGUGGGAGAGGAAAGCGGAAUUCCUGGUGUAGCGGUGAAAUGCGUAGAUAUCAGGAGGAACACCUGCGGUGUAGACGGCUUUCUGGACCAUUGUUGACGCUGAGACACGAAAGCGUGGGUAGCAAACAGGAUUAGAGACCCCUGUAGUCCCUGUCUCUUAUAC